UAUAUAAAUAUUGUAAUAUUUUUAAUGAGAAAAAAGUGUCUUCGGUGUUAGUCAAAUAAAGUUGCGGUUGGAUAAAAACCGUACCAUUCUCGACAGGGUUCAUGACCAUGCUCAACAGAGGAUUAUAGAUGUCAAAGACGACCAAUUUCAGACCGGGAAGAUUGUUGGUUAAGUUCAUAGACGUGUUGUUGAGUUUGGUAUUGAAGGAAACCGCAUCCCGGUUUAGUCUUUCGACGCACGUAUUGUUCCCAGCUUCACCAAACGUCGUUAUUGCAGCAGGUAAACAACCCAAGGGCGGUAACGUCGUCACUCCAAUCUUUCUAGCACCUAAACCAUACAAAUUCUGCCAACAAAAAAAAAAAAAAAAUCGACCACCGGUUCAGAGUAAACCGGAAAAAUUAAAAGUUGGUUCGAUCGGUGUGGUACGGUAUUGGUUAAUUUACUUGC
rnacentral:lncRNA from 1 species